UGCAGGCAGUUGUAUUAGCACAGGUGCCCACAUUUUGUAUGCUUAAACUUUGACAUGGAUGUGGUAAGUAAUUUCUCUACACACUCUAUCCACUUGGUAGCUACCUUUUUGGAAUUGGAUGAGGUUUCUUUCCCUCUAUAUGGUUUUUACUAUUAUGGAAAAGACACUACAUAGGAUGACUCCCCUUGAAGAUUUCCCUUUUCCUUGUUGUGUAACCCAUUCAACCUCAGUUGUCUAAUUUCUAAUAGAUCUUUGCACACCUAUCCACCCCAGCAUUAUUAUAAUAAACCUCUAGUAGUUUAGCACUCAAAUAAUAAAUGUUGAUGAGUCUCAUUAGCACUAUCACAGAACGCACAGGAAGAUGGUAUAUGGAUACCAAACUUAGCUAACGUUUCUACAGUGGAAAGUCAUUUUAACAGGGCAAUAAAAAGUUUUAAGGAAUGUCUGGGAUGUACACUGUGGUGCGGCAGAAUUCAUUUCUAAGGAACUUUGAGGAUUUAUGGGAGCAUUGCACUAUAUAUCCUUCUUAUAAGAAACUUUGAAUUAAGCAUACAGGUUGUCAAUCUUACCAAUAGAUCACCUUGUAGCCCUGGAGAUGUCAUGACAUGAUAUUUUGCACUUAUAAAUUUCCUAAUUGCCCAAGUAGAAUUCUUGGGAAUUUCACAGGUUUCAAUAGCUUCAUCUUUGAGAUAAUAAGAAUGUACCCACCUUAUCCAAAGGCAAUUCUUUUUUCAAGAUAAAGCCCAUAGUUUUUUAGUGAUUGCUUCUUUGUUCCAUAGAUACAAAUUUAGUAUAUUUAGGCCACCGUAUAUUUGGGAAGGUGGAUUUUUUCAUAAGACAUCAAAGCUCUCUUGGAGGUUAAAGUUGAACAUGUCCAGAGAAAUAUUUUCAAGUUGCUAGUGAUGAGCUUUAUGAUUUCUUUGUUAACAAAAAGACUUUUGCCCAGUAAGAAUGUGUUCCAAAUAUUAUGUACUAAAUCAAUUGCAACCUCCCAGCAUAUAAUAGUAACUUGGCAGACCAACAGUUUAGUUUUGCAACUAUUUUAUCCACCAGUGGUUGACAUUGAUCUAUUGUAAGCUUCUUGGAAGACAAAGGAACUCCAAGGUACCUGAAAGGCAAGGAUCUCUACUUAUAACCCAUGGAUUUUAGAAUAAGCAGCUUUAUAUGGUUUUGUUCCAGAGAAAAAGAUAGAACUCUUCUCAAUAUUUUCUUAAAGCCCUGAUAAAAAAUCUCUUGAAAACCUGAUGGAGAAGUGUGAUAGAGGUGAGCUCAGCAUUGCAAAAUAAUAACAAAUCAUCAGCAAACAGUAUGUGUUUUACCCCCAUUUUUUGCAUCUGGGGUGAUAAUGAAACCCUUUAUUUUGAUCUAGCACACUUAGCUCCCUAUUUAGGUAUUCUAUUACAAUUACAAAAAAGUAAGAUGACAUGGGGUCACCUUGCCUUAUGUCUCUUUUUAUUGGAAAAGUUUUAGUUAACCUACCAUUUACCACUAAAGAAUAAGAGACCAAGAUGAUACACACCAUGAUCCAGUUAAUAAAAUUUUGAGGAAAUCCCAAUUCUGCUAGCAUGCUCUUGAGGAAACACCAUCCUACUGAGUCAUAACACUAUUGCGUGUUAUGUAUGGUGAAAACCAUUCUUACUAAGUAUGCCCUUUAAAUAUAAAGUAUAUAUUCUAUGUUGGGAAACAGUACAAGGGUUGUUAUUAUUAAAUCAAUAUAUUUGACCCAAACAACAAAAACCAUCCGAAUUUCUCAUGGGGUUGGAAUCAGAACAUUGAACGGUAGUAGUUUAUGUAGCAAGCCUUACAUAUUAAUAGUUUAUUAGAGGAGACACUCAAAUAGUUAAUGGAAUAACAACAAAAGUAGCAGUAUUUCAUUGCUCAAUUGGCACAAAUCAAUAUGAGACAAAGAAGGCUAUUAGUGACGUACAGGUUCAGAUGAAAAAGCUUACGACAUCACUUCAUGCUAGGCUUUAAGGUGUUUUUUUUUCAAGUGAAAUUGAGAUUCCAAAGUAGAUAAUGGCUAUUACAUUGAGAAGUAGGUGAGACAUUCCUGAUUUAGAGCCCCCAUAAAUGAGAGCAGAUGGUAAUUAUUCAGUUUCUCAUGCAUGAAUCGAUUAUUGUUAUAGUUCUCAGAUGAGAAAAUAAUUGCUUCUCUCUAGUUCACUCUCUCUCUCUCUCCUCUCUCCUUACCCUCUCUCCAUCUCUAGCGCACCGGCCCCCGGUCCCCGGCGCCGUCGCUGACCUUCGGCGCCGACCCGAUCCGGAAGAAACACUUGGUUGAACUUCCUUACAUCCCCGAAUUCGACGAGAAAAGUAUUCCUACUAAGGCCAGACCUAUCCAAAUGAACCAUGAGAUGAUGGAAAUCUGUAAGAAAGAAAUAGAUCAUCUCCUGAAAAAUGGUAUCAUCAGACGCUCUAACUCCCCCUGGAGUUGCUCUGCCUUUUAUGUUAAUAACAGUGCAGAGAAAGANNNNNNNNNNNNNNNNNNNNNNNNNNNNNNNNNNNNNNNNNNNNNNNNNNNNNNNNNNNNNNNNNNNNNNNNNNNNNNNNNNNNNNNNNNNNNNNNNNNNNNNNNNNNNNNNNNNNNNNNNNNNNNNNNNNNNNNNNNNNNNNNNNNNNNNNNNNNNNNNNNNNNNNNNNNNNNNNNNNNNNNNNNNNNNNNNNNNNNNNNNNNNNNNNNNNNNNNNNNNNNNNNNNNNNNNNNNNNNNNNNNNNNNNNNNNNNNNNNNNNNNNNNNNNNNNNNNNNNNNNNNNNNNNNNNNNNNNNNNNNNNNNNNNNNNNNNNNNNNNNNNNNNNNNNNNNNNNNNNNNNNNNNNNNNNNNNNNNNNNNNNNNNNNNNNNNNNNNNNNNNNNNNNNNNNNNNNNNNNNNNNNNNNNNNNNNNNNNNNNNNNNNNNNNNNNNNNNNNNNNNNNNNNNNNNNNNNNNNNNNNNNNNNNNNNNNNNNNNNNNNNNNNNNNNNNNNNNNNNNNNNNNNNNNNNNNNNNNNNNNNNNNNNNNNNNNNNNNNNNNNNNNNNNNNNNNNNNNNNNNNNNNNNNNNNNNNNNNNNNNNNNNNNNNNNNNNNNNNNNNNNNNNNNNNNNNNNNNNNNNNNNNNNNNNNNNNNNNNNNNNNNNNNNNNNNNNNNNNNNNNNNNNNNNNNNNNNNNNNNNNNNNNNNNNNNNNNNNNNNNNNNNNNNNNNNNNNNNNNNNNNNNNNNNNNNNNNNNNNNNNNNNNNNNNNNNNNNNNNNNNNNNNNNNNNNNNNNNNNNNNNNNNNNNNNNNNNNNNNNNNNNNNNNNNNNNNNNNNNNNNNNNNNNNNNNNNNNNNNNNNNNNNNNAGUGGGGGGCGCGUGGAUAGCGACGGUAGGCUGAGGGUUGGGUCUUGGAAUAUAGGGACCCUUCAGGGGAAGUCCAUAGAGCUGGUGAAGAUUCUUAGGAAGAGAAGGAUCAACCUUGCGUGUGUCCAAGAGACCAAGUGGGUAGGGUCUAAGGCUAGGGAUGUGGACGGUUACAAGCUGUGGUACUCUGGGAGCGACAGGCGUAGGAAUGGAGUUGGCAUCUUGGUAGAUGAAGAGCUUAGAGGUCAGGUAGUGGAGGUGAAGAGGAUCAACGAUAGGUUGAUGACUAUCAAGUUGGUCAUUCGGGGGUUUACCCUGAACGUGUGUAGUGCCUAUGCGCCGCAUGUGGGAUCGGAGGGGGAGGAGAAGAUGCGGUUCUGGGAGGCCUUGGAGGACGUGGUGAGAGGCGUGCCCAGUUCGGAGAAGAUUGUGGUAGCAGGGGAUUUCAACGGGCACAUCGGGGCGCUACCGGGAGGCUUUGGGGAUGUGCAUGGAGGUUUUGGUUUUGGGGAGAGAAAUGAAGAGGGGGCGACCCUAUUGGAGUUUGCGAGGGCGUUUGGGCUGGUGGUGGUGAACUCGGGCUUCCCGAAGAAGGACGACCACCUGAUCACUUUUCGGAGCGCGGUAGCCAGGACCCAGAUUGACUUCUUGUUGCUUAGGAAAGGGGAUAGGGCGCUGUGUAAAGAUUGUAAAGUCAUCCCGAGUGAGAACCUUUCGACCCAACAUAGGCUCUUGGUUAUGGAUUUGGGUAUGAAGAAGAAUAAAAAGAGGAGGAGUAAGGAGUGUAGACCGAGAAUUAAGUGGGGCGGUUUGACGCCAGUGAAUGCGUGGGAGAUAGGGGAGAGGUUGGCGGGAAUGGGGGUGUGGGAGUGUAGGGGGGACGUGGAUAAUAUGUGGGACAGGGCGGCAGCGUGCAUCAGGGAAAAUGCAAGGGAGGUGUUGGGUGUUUCUAGGGGCCGGGCCGGACAUCAUCGGGGGGAUUGGUGGUGGAAUGAAGAGGUGGGGAAGAAAGUGGAGACCAAGAAAGAGUCGUAUGCUAAGUUGGUGGAAAGUAAGGACGAAGAGGAGAAGCGGGUAAACAGGAAAGAGUACAAGCUAGCAAGGAAGGAGGCGAAGUCAGCGGUCACGGCAGCUAAGACGGCUGCUUUUGAGAGCUUGUAUGCAGGGUUACAGGGGAAAGGAGGGGAGAAAAAGUUGUUCCGACUCGCUAAGGCUAGGGAGAGGAAGGGUCGUGACCUCGAUCAGGUGCGGUGCAUUAAGGGGGAGGACGGUAGAGUGUUGGUGGAGGACGGCCACAUAAAGAAGAGAUGGCAGUCGUACUUUCAUAGGCUCUUGAAUGACGAGGGGGACAGAGCUAUUGUGUUAGGGGAACUGGAGCACUCAGGGGAGUGUCGGGAUUUUAGCUAUUGUAGACGUUUUAAGGUAGACGAGGUUAGACAGGCAGUCCGCAGGAUGCGAAGGGGUAGGGCGACGGGGCCGGAUGAGAUACCGGUGGAGUUUUGGAAGUUCGUUGGAGAGGCUGGUGUAAGGUGGUUGACUGCAUUGUUCAAUGAAAUUUUCAGGACAGCAAAGAUGCCCGAGGCGUGGAGGUGGAGUACCAUGAUCCCCCUCUAUAAGAAUAAGGGGGACAUUCAGUGUUGCAAUAACUAUAGGGGGAUUAAGUUACUGAGUCACUCUAUGAAGAUCUGGGAGAGAGUGGUCGAGGUGAGGCUGAGACGGAUAGUGUCUAUCUCGGAAAAUCAGUUCGGAUUUAUGCCCGGCCGCUCGACGACGGAGGCAAUUCACCUGGUACGGCGGUUGGUGGAGCAAUAUAGGGAAAGGAAGAAGGAUUUGCACAUGGUGUUCAUCGACCUAGAAAAGGCGUACGACAAAGUCCCCAGGGAGGUGCUUUGGAGAUGCUUGGAGGUGAGUGGAGUACCGCAGGCAUAUAGCAGAGUAAUUAAGGAUAUGUAUGAGGGAGCGAAAACCCAGGUGAGGACGGCGGGAGGAGACUCAGAGCAUUUCACUGUCCUGACAGGAUUGCAUCAGGGAUCUACUCUUAGUCCCUUUUUGUUUGCGCUAGUAAUGGAUGUGUUAACGCGGCGUAUCCAAGGGGAGGUGCCGUGGUGUAUGCUUUUUGCAGACGAUGUAGUCCUGAUAGAUGAGACGCGAGGGGGUGUGAACGACAAAUUAGAGCUGUGGAGGCAAACUCUGGAGUCUAAAGGGUUCAGGGUGAGCAGAACCAAGACAGAGUAUGUGGAAUGUAAGUUUAAUGACGUAAGGCGAGAGAAUGAGGUAGUGGUGAGGCUAGAAGCGCAGGAGGUAAAGAAAAGGGAUAAGUUCAAGUACCUCGGGUCCGUGAUCCAGAGUAACGGUGAGAUUGACGAGGAUGUCUCGCACCGUAUCGGGGCGGGAUGGAUGAAGUGGAAACUUGCAUCGGGGGUGCUGUGUGAUAAGAAGGUGCCGCCCAAGCUUAAAGGUAAAUUCUAUAGGGUGGUAGUCCGUCCGGCCUUGCUGUAUGGAGCGGAGUGUUGGCCAGUUAAGAACUCCCACAUCCAAAGAAUGAAGGUGGCAGAAAUGCGGAUGUUGCGCUGGAUGUGUGGACUGACUCGAGGGGAUAGAGUUCGGAAUGAGACUAUCCGGGAGAAGGUUGGUGUGACUUCAGUGGAGUGUAAGAUGCGGGAAGCACGAUUGAGAUGGUUCGGACACGUGAAGAGGAGGGGCAUGGAUGCCCCGGUCCGUAGGUGUGAGAGGCUAGCGUUGGAUGGUUUUAGACGGGGUAGGGGUAGACCGAAGAAGUACUGGGGUGAGGUGAUUAGGCGGGACAUGGAACAGUUACAGCUUACCGAGGACAUGACCCUAGAUAGGAAGGUCUGGAAGACGCGAAUUACGGCAGAAGAGUAGGGCCAGAUUGGGUCGCUAGUGUAGGGAGUUACUUGGUGGGUUUUUUUUUUUUUUUUUCGUUAUGAUUCCGUAUUCAGUGUUCCAUGCUUAUUACGAAUCUGUGUGCUUUCCGCUGCUUUCCUCUGUUUUAUAUUCCUUAUGGGUGCCGUAUUUAUGUUAUGUCAUCUGCUUCUGUGCUUUACUAUGUGUUUGUGUGAUAUCUUGUGCCUUGAGCCGGGAGUCUUUCGGAAACAGCCUUUCUACUUCAUCAGAGGUAGAGGUAUGGACUGCGUACAUCUUACCCCCCCAGACCCCACUAAGUGGGAAUACACUGGGUUUGUUGUUGUUGUUAUAAAUGAGAGCAGAUCACUAGGCAUUUGGCCUUGAAAACUAUAAGCAUCCACAUUUAUUCCCUUAAAGGUUAAAAAUAAAUAAGGAUGAUUCUAAUUUAGAAAAUUCCUUAAUAUAUUUGAGUAACUUCAACUAAAUAUUUCCUUGGUUAGUGCUUUGAGGGAUAUGCCUAAAUAUGCAAAAAUACUUGAAAGACAUUGUGGCUGGUAGGAGAUUACAUAUAUAGUUGGAUACUUUUGCACUCACUGAAGAGUGUAAUUCAUAGGUCUUAGCAAGCUAUCUCAAAUGUUCAAAGACCUCAGGGUUUUACAUUAUGCAUAAGAAUUGGGAAAAUCAAGGCUGGACAUGCAUUAUUUCAUCUUAGGACAAGUAUCAACCUGAUUCCCUUAUAAAUGUUUCAACACUCUUGAGAGAGACACCUCUAACCACCAUCACACUACCGUAUGAAAUUAGUCUCACGUAUAAGUAGAGGGAAUAAAAAAGAAUGUGCUCAUCAAGGUAGGUAAGUUUAUGAUUCCUAUUAACGUUAAUAUUUUUGAAAUUUAAAGUAAAUGAGUAGCUAACGAUUAUCUUGGAAUUCCUAUUCAUUGCUACAAGUGGAGCACUAAUAGAUGUUGUUAUGAUCCAUUUUUUUAAAAGUCAAAAUUAUUCCAUAACUUCGUGGAGGAAAAAGAGUCUAUUUGAUUUAAUUUUCAGAAAUAUUUUUAAGGAAAAAUAGAGUCACCAAUUAAUUUUUUGGGAAAUUAAGAAAACCAUUUUAACAAAGGAAAUUUUGAAAGAAAAUCUCUUAUUAAAGUGUAACCAGAGAGUAGGUAAGAGUUCAAAUAUAAUUGAAAGAAGGUGUUAGGUACUUUUGAAAAUACACCAAGUAUGGUUUCCGAUGGAUUAAACUUAUUUGGCUAAUUUGAAAAUCAUGAGUUAUUUGGAAAAUCUCAUUAAAAAAUCUUGAAUUAAUCUGAAAGUACUAUUUCAAAUAAAUAAAAUUUAUUUGACUAAUACCUGUAAUUUUAUUCGUACUAAUAAAAUAAACUAAACAUCAAAGUUAAAAAGUAAUUCUAACUUUAAUAAUUUUAUAUAAAUUAAGAAUUUGGGAUAAAUAGCUAACUCAAUUUCUUAAAGAUGGAUUUCAUCUAUGAGUAACUAUGAACGGAUAUAAAUAAAUCCUCAAGUUACUCUAUAAGCUUAAGUUUGCUUGGAUAGAGGAAUUAAAAAAAUAAAACGAAUAAUAAACUUAUUCCCUGAGAAUUCAUCUAGAUUAAUUAAAUUAAAUUAUAAACAAACAAUCAAAUUAAUUACAAGAAAAUAAAGGAAAUAAAGAAAAAACCUUGCGAUUUAGGCCACUUUUUGGCCCAUUUCAGAUCUAUCCAGGUUUUGGGCCUAUUGUAUUGGACCUUUUUUCCUAGACCUUUUUCAUUUGUAUAUGAUAGCCGUUAUCCAUUGAGUUUUUCUGUAUAUAUAGUGUAUACCAAUACGCCAAACCUGCAUAUUAAUUCCAUUCUUCGUGAACACCAUAUAUUAGAGUAUAUCUUCUAUUUAUAAGGCAUAUAUUCUCAAUAUAGCAAUGUAUAUAUAUGCAUACCAACCCUGUUCUCUGAGUAUUAGACCAUUUAUUGGACUGUUAUUGAGGAUUUUGACUUGAAGAUGAUAUAGGCCUCUUUGGCCCAUUGAGAAAUUCAGAGAAUAAAGUCCGUUGGGACUCAAUCCGUUGUCAUAUUCAUCAAGAAAAAUAUAUAGAUUAGAAUUUGUUCAAAUUGUACUAAUAUAACUAGUCAAGAAACAACAUGUAAAUUUUUUAUUCAUAUAUAUCCAUCGUUAAAUCUAGAAUUGAUUUGUAAGGAGCAAAAGGAUUUAGUAAUUUCAAGACAACAUUGGAUUUUAAACAACAAUUGCUAUAUGUAUAUCGAAGACAGAUAAAAUACAGUAGCAUGUUUCUUUCAAUAACUAUCUCGACAAGGAAACCAAUACUAAGCAAAUACCAGAGAAGAGAGAAAGGGAAUUAUAAUUAAGAGUUUAACUGAACAAAUGAAAUUUAAAAAUAGUAAAAGAUUGUGCUAGGCUAUGUCAAACCAAUUUCAAUCACCUUGAGACCUCAAAUUAAAACCUACAGAAAUGAAAACAGACCACAAAGAAGACGAGUUUUGUUCCUAGUUUCAAACAUAAGCAAUCCAAAUAGGAAAAAUUCUCAGAACAUUCAAUAAAAUGUGUAUGUCCAAAGUUGAAAACUUCCGAUCAUAUCUCAUUAUAGAAACUAAUUUCAACUAUCCACUAACAACGUUAGUUCUUCAUAUCUUAAAUAAGAAUAAUAAAGUUGUCGUAAUGUAUGGAUUCAAAGAAAAAAACUUCUAAAUUUCAUCAUCCUCCAAGAAAAAAAAAUUCAUACCACAAAGUAACACUUGAUCAAAGAGAAUACCAAAAAAUAGCGAUUCAAAACAAGAAGGAAUGAAGAAAAACAAACGUAAAUCUAUAGAAACCAAAUUUAGAUUAUAAAUAUAACAAUACUCUUUAAGCUAAAACAAUGAGAGAAAUGAAAGGUUAAAUAUAUUUAUUUGAAGAAAUGGUCAAUUGACUAAAAUGAGACAAUAACUUAAGAUAUAUAGGACUACAUGUUAACACUAAAAGAAAACAUCAUAAGAUGAAAAAAUUAACUUUGUGAAUCACAGUAUCAACUCAAGAAAUCAAACAUAAAACCUAUAGCUUUCAAAAAAGACUUCUACAGCACAUAAUCACAUCAUUACAAAAAAUUCUCUACUUACAAGAAGAAGAAGUAGCAGAAAUAAUGAUGGACUUAAAAAAAAGGUGUCCUACCUAUUACGGAGCAACAAAAGGGGAUGACAUAUCAAUGAUGACUUCACCACUCUCCUUAACUUUAAAAGAGUAAAAAAGUAAACUUGAGCAAGAAUUCUCACAACUCGAAGGCUGGAGACCAAAGUCCAAAAUCCCCAAGUAAAGAGAAUUUUUAGCCCUUUUUGGUUUGGAAAAAACAAUUAUCCAAAAGUCAAAAGGGAGGAGCUUAUAUAGAAAACCAACAUUCUUGAGGAAUUUCUGAUGUGGAAUAGAGAAUUUCAAAGGUAUAUUAGGAAUUUAGUUGAGGGAUAAAGUCUGAGGAGAUGGAAAUUAUUCUAUUCAGUCAGUAUGAAUUUGAAUUUCAAAUUGAAAAGAGGAUAAGGUUUGGAUAUUUUGAGAGAAUUUCAUGGAAUUUGAUUUGUGUACCAACCUAUGUGCCUAGCACUUGCCUUUGGUAUGAAUCAACAAAGAGAAGACAAAAUAAGCCUCAAAUUUAGAGUUGUUGCUCAUCGAUGAUACUUUUAUCACCAUUUUAUUAUCAACUGUUAUUGUUGUUAAAGUCAAUGCUAUAUAGUAUUACUGUUGGUUGAACAUUGUGGUUUGUUUACAUAUAGUAUGGCUGAGCUGGAUACUGGUUAUUUGUGUCGUAACUAGAGUCGAUACCAUUGUUUUGUUGUUGAUUGGUUGUACAUCAUUUUUAUUGUAUAGGUAAAGAGAAAAAAUAGGGUGUGAUGGUGGAUCUGGUUAGACUAUAGGCUGGGAUUGGUUUGUAAGAAGGCUGGCACAAUGGGUAUUAGGUUGGACAGGGUUACUGGGUAACUCGACCCAACUUUUAAAAUAAAAUAGAAAAGGGAGUGGGUAAAUUAAAAGAUUUUUGGAUUAUCUUUUAAAUAACCCCAAUUAGUUUUGUAUUAUCCAACAUUAUUCGAUUUUUGGCCAAAUUAAAAAUUAAUUGAUCCAUUGUAUUGCAUUUGUGGCCAAUUUAAUUUCAAUUAUGGCUAAAUUUAAUAACUUUGGCUAAAUUCAAUAGCAAUAUGAUAUGAAUUAAGAAUCAAUUUAAUCUUGAGUUUCUUAAUUUAAUAAAAUCCAACAAAUAUUUCCCAAGUAAAUAUUUUUUGAAAAUAAAUUAUAGUUUGAUCAAGGUUUUACCAAUUUGACUUCAUUUUUUUGUGAUAAACCUUGAUUAGAUUAUAAUUUUUAUAAAAUAAUUAUUUAAAUGACCAAAUUAUAUGAUCUUGCAUAUAUGAAUAUAAAAAUAUAUAAUUCCAACUUAAAAUGACAAAAUAACCUAAAUAGAUAUUUUUGAAAAGUUUUUUAUCGGAUAAAAUAAAUGUUACAAUUAUUUAAAAUCGAAGAAACUCAUAAUUAAACUUAAUAAUGGAGGAAAAAAUUAGGUGUCAACAAUUUUCCUCUCCCUUUGGGCAGGAUGAAUGCAAAUAACCAUGGCCAAAGGAAAUUUGAUAUCCCUGAUUUUUUUUUGACCAUAAAAUAAUUUCUCGAAAGAGGUUAUCUUUCGCAUGAGUUUUUAAGGAGUUAUGGUCAGACCUCGAUAUUGAGUUUGCUACAUAUCUCAUGUUAUAUAAGAAUUCAGGCUACUUGUAAUUCCAAAUGCUUGAUUUUAGUCAUGAUUUUCAAUGAAUUUACAACCUGUACCAUUUUCAAAUUUUUGUAAAACCAACAAGCUUGGAAAUAUGAGGAUUAGGGAGAGGUUGGAAUGAUCAAGUCUUCAACAAAGGGCGUAGCCUACAUAUUUUGGAGAUUCUAGGAAUUAGACUGCUUAUAGUUUGUCUCGAUAGAUAAAAAAGAUAGUCACUUAUUUUAGAUGAACUUUGGUUUGGAAUGAGUGAAAAAUACAUCAAGUUAUGGAAAAGAAUCUUGCAUAUAUCUCAAUCAUGAAUAUGGGGCCUCUUUACACUCAUAUCUGAGAGCUACACGGACCUAAUUUCCAAAGCUCUAGGUGUGUUAUCACCCUAAUUUUAAAGAAGUGGAAGAUUAUCUCUAGUAUGAGUUUAGAAAUGCCUUGGAGGUAAAACUAAAACCAAAAACAUCCUAAAAUACCCAUAUGCAUUUUGAUAAGGUAUGGUUUGAUAAUGGUGAAAGUCGUCCUUCAGCUCAAGUCCAGAGAGUUUGAUGUCCCUAUUCAAACUAUGUCCUAGUUUGCUACUAAGAAAAAAUUUCACGUUGUGCUACAUCCUUUGUGAGUCAUGGACACCUAUCAUUUGUAUUUAAGAAUUAAAUUCUUUUGGAUUCUCUCAACAACAUCUCAAACAAAAUGGUUAGUUGUAAAUGUAGCAUGACACAAACAUCAUUUGCAAACCAUGUAAUGUUGAGAUUGUUGAUGAAUAAAUUUCCAUACCCUAUUUUUAAAAUAUUAAUACACUUUUAAUGGUGUGACAAACUAAUGUGUACCAGUAAAAGGUGGAUGACCUAUCUUAAAUAUUUUUUGCAACUUAGAAUGGGGUAAUAGCCCAACAUGCCUCAUUCGAAAGAGGACAACCUAUCUUAAAUGUUUUGUGCCAUAUUGAAUGGGGUGAUGGCCCAAUGUGUCUCGUUGAAAGGAGGAUGAUCCAUGUAUUUCAGUGAAAGUUGGAUGGCAUAUCUUAAAAGUAGCGUGCCACUUUAAAUGGGAUAAUGGCUUAACAUGUCUCAUUGAAAGGAGACAGAACAACUUAUCUUGAAAGUAACAUUCUACGUUGAAUGUGGUGACGGUCCAACAUGUCUUACUAAAAGGUGGACAACCUAUCUUGAAUGUAACAUGCCACUUUGAAUGGUGUGAAGUCCAAACGUGUUUUAUCAAAAGGUGGAUGACCUAUAUUGAAUGGAAUGUGUCAUGUUUAAUGGGGUGAUGACCCAUCAUGUCUAACUAAAAUGAGGAUGACCCAUGUGUCUCAUUAAAUGGUGGAUGACUUAUUUUGAAAGUGACAUGCUACUUUUAAUGCGGUGAUGGCCCAAUGCCCCUACUAAUCACUUGCACUAAACUUAUUAAAAGCAAAUGCAAUGAAAGGGAAAUUGUACAGACCUUUUUUUAAUAUGCCAAACUGAAGGAGGUAAAAAUCCAUACUAUAGUAACAUAUCACUUUAAAGUAGGUGAUGAUCCGUAUAAUAACGUGUAACUCUAAAGGAAAUGAUAGUCUAUAACAUAAUAACAUGCCAAUCUGAAGAAGGUGAGGGUCCAUAAGAUAUAAUAUGUUGCUAUGAAGAAGGUUAUGAUCCAUAUAAUAACGCUCCACUUUGAAGAAGGUGAGAAUCCAUUACUGAUAACACUCGACUUACACAUCAAUUUAUAUGCAAGGCGGUCGUCAUUAAUAUAUUUACCCAACUACGGAGUUGGGGUCGAAUUCAUAAGGAACAAUGUGUGUGGUGAUCAAAUUGGUUUGAAAUGAUAGAUACAAGUUAAAUUCAAACAAGUGGUACAAAAAGAUAAAAUGAGGUAUAGGUUUCUUUACUGAUGUUUCUUUUUGGGUGUUUCCAGUAUAAAUUCGGGGCUAUGAAUAAUUAGAGUUUUAACAAUUAAGCACAGAUAUUGGGAUUAUGUACUACUAAGGGAGUGAUGUGUGGGAGUUAGUCAUAAACAUCAAUUUAGUAAAUCAAAUAUGGGUAGACUUGAUAAUAGAUUUCGAAGCUAGUAUUUCAACAAAACAACAAACUUUCACCCAUUGAUUCUUUUGAAUACCUAAUAGGUGUGUUCAAUAAUUGGUAACCACAAUCUAAAUCUAGGCAUCCCUAUUUUUAGAAUGAUACCUAUGGAAUAGUUAACCUCAUAUUAGCCCUUAUGUCUAAGAUAGUGAAAAUUUAGCAAACUAUACAUAGAAUUGUCUAUCAUUGCUUUGGUCUCCACAUCCUUCUUUCGAGGAUGAUACGAAUUCCUAAAGUUCACCCGAAAACCUUCUUUCAAAGAUGGCCUUGAACUUUCUAGAGUUUGAAGCUUUCAUUCAUUAAACCCAUAUAGGUAUUUGGGGCUUUCACCCAUUAAAUCCCAACCAAAAUAGCAUAGCAAUAAUAAAAUCCAUAAACUUGAACUACCAAAUAGAUGCUAACAAUAACUAUCAAAACACACUUUAACCCCUAUUCACAGAUAACCCUAAGAGGGAGAUUUAGCUACACAUAAGAUAAAUAAGCAUAGAUAUACCUAUAAUCUCUAAGGACUUGAAUUGUUGAAGACUUAAGUGAAUGUUACAUCAAACUUGGUUCUCCCACAAUAUCAACAAUGGAACUGAGCAAAUCUUCCACUUAGAAAGUCUCCAAUGUAUUCUUCACCAAAUUUUAUACAAUAUUUUCUUCUCCAAAAAUGGAGGCUAUGAACUACGCUAACACAAAAACCUGAUAAUUUGGGGAAGAUGGAAUUAUUCUAUCAUAGUAGGGUUUGAGUCAAUUUUGUCAAAAUAGGAUCAGCAUGUGCAAUUACGGUUUUGACCUUGGGCUGAAAUCCUUUACGAGGACAUAAUCGUGUAGGUCUGGCUGUGACCAUGGCUACGCAACCACGGUUUGCCUCCGGGACUACAAUUAAUUGACCAUCCUUGAGUGUCGCGACUGCAAUACCUGAGGCCCUUCUAUUUCAGGUCUGCAACUGUACUUUCUUGCUCCCUUUUUGAUCAUUUUGAGCUCCAAUUCACAUCCUUCCAGCCCUUUAAGUCUAUGCCUACAAAAAGUGCAUAUUAGUGCAUCUAAUCGCAAUUAUGUCUUAUUAAUUCAUCCAUGUCAAGGUAAUGCGCACGAAAAAUGAGUGUGAUUGAGUGGUAAACUCACCACUCAUCAACACCCCCAACUUAAAGUGUUUGAUUGUCCUCAAGAAACCACUACCUCUUAUCAUGAGACAGUUAUUUAAGCCCAACCUUUAUUCCUUAAAGAUCACAAUGACCUCGACUUUAAUCGUAACCACAAAUAACUCAUUGCACAUAGGCUAAAGCUAACUUCGCUACAUCCUUCCUUAUAAAAUACUUAAACCAAGGCUACAUAGGGCUUCCAAGAGAGAUCAAGCACAAAAACCAAUACUCUAGAUAUGACUUGCUCUUGAUAAUACUUAAGCUUUACUCCAAUUGCCUUAUUGCCAGAAGAUGACACGAUCACCCACCUUAACUUAUUUCACAUGCCAUCCUCAUAAGAAAAAGAAUUCCUCAUCUCAAGCUACAAAAUAUGCAAUAAGGAAUUUUAAGUGCACAAAUUCUCUCUCAUACACAAAAUAAAUCUCAAUGCAACAAAUGUUAUACCAUAGGAUUGCCCCUAUUUUCAAUCGCCACUACAAAAAAAGUGAAUGGUUGGAGAUGUCAAAGAACUUUCUAAAAUUGUAAUGUUGGUUUGAGUUCGGGUAGGAUAUUGUUUAGGGACAACAUGGCUACUCCCUUUAUUGAACAUCAACAUCACACUUUUCAAUCUUCCUUUUUGAUUAUUGGACACUCUCAUUUGUUUUGUCUAAAUAACAUAAGUUUGCAAAAGAUGAAUGCAAAAAGCUCGCCACUCAUGGCAUGGAAAAACUUACUAAGGAGUGUCAAUUGUCCCUUCCACGAGAAAAAAUUAGAGUAUUUAUCAUUAUUUAUAAGUAAAUAAUUUGUGGAUCUACAAAAGUAGAAAAAGAUUUGUUACAAAGUCGCUCUCGUCCAUGCUUUUGAUUUUUGAAAACUUUUAGACGGAGGAAGUUGUUUGUGUUGCAAUAGAACUAUGCACAAUUUACUAAACUAGGGCUAUAAUGAAAGCCUUAAUCCCACAUUUAGGCUUAAAAUGGGCAAGCUAGCCAUAUGGAUACUCAGACUUCGUCAAUGGUGCAUAAUGUGACCCUAGUUUUAACAAAAUAAAAUGACACGAUUACUUAGAAUUCUCCUUCAUCUAUGCCUCAAACUAAAAACAUGACCCUUUACCCUUAAGAAUGUCUUCAAUCAUUCUAUCAUAGGUUAAGACAAGUCAUGCAUCAGCAAGAUCAAAAUUAAAUUAAAUUACAAGAACACUAAAAUUAAAAAAAAGCAUGAUAAUCCAUAAAUCGUGGGUACCAUCAGAGUACCCAAAAAUGUUGUAUCUCAAAACAAAGUAAAAAUCGUAUCCAAAAAGGAUCCCAAAAUAUUAUCAAAAGACAACCCAAAUGCAUCCAAAUAACUUAAAUAUAGGGACAGGCUACCCCCAAAUUUAACAAGAUAUGAGUAAAGGGUGUUUCCUAGAUCAGCCUCAUUAUCUCUGGUAUACCCUACAUCAUCAGCACGAGACCUGUCAGCAAGGGCUCAAUCAUCACUCUCACUCCUCAAUAUAGGUAGAUGUUCUUUAGUUUUGAGCACCUUAAAGAUGCCUUUUACCCCUCUCCACAUCUUGGUGAAGAACUUUUCUCUCUACUUUUCCCUCUUCAAUAUCUUUUUGAAUGACUCCUAGAGAUUCUUGUAUGAUAUUGCUAAACGGAAUAUGUUCUUUCAAAUUUGGUAACCUUGGCACCUUGGUUUGUUAACUCCUCCUGAUAUAUUUCAUAGUCAGACUAAGCCACAUAUGAAUGGCAAGUUGUGGAGGAUUUUCCUGGGGUAGCCCUGGAGCAUGUUCCCGAUUGGUAAAAAUUUUGUCAAAGAAUUCUGGGAACUUUAUUAGGGCUCUAUCCAUAGAGAUACUCCUUUCUAGGAAUAGCUUGGACCUUGAAAAUUCAUUGUAACACUGGUUGUGGCUUUUCGGGGAUAUGGGUCUGAUAUCUUUUGAGUCUUCCAUUUUGUAACUAAUCACCUAUAUGGACAUACUUCAAACUAUUUUUAUUAUUUAAAAAGCAAAACUUAUGUUAAAUUAGUAAUAAAAGUGUUUGUGGCAAUUCCAUAGGAUAUUUAAUGGUGAAAAGCAGGUGAGCAGAAGUUUCAAUUUCAGCAGAUAGUAGUCUUCAGGUGUAGCGACCAUGAAGUAUUUACUCUUAUUGUUCUUCAACGAUCGUGGUCAACAGGACCAUGAUCGCGAUACCUGAGACCAUCAUCAACAGUUCUGCCCUGCUCAGGAUUUCCGCAGUUAACACCAACUUUGUUUUCCAACUAGGCACAUAAUCAUCAUAAUAAUAUAAAGUAAGCCCAUCUUGUGUAAUUUUAGUCCCCUUCCCAAACUUGAACGAGUUCACCUUGAACUCUUUCGGGCAUUGAAUGAAGAUAUACUUUACACGCCUAUUUCAACCAUGUUAAGUUAAAAUAUGGAUACUCAAGACUUUCCUAAAUGGAAUGUAAAUAUCCUACAGCUGCUAACCGCAAUAAUAAAUAAAACAAACAUAGUUUUGUCAUUGUAAAAACUAAUUUAUGCCACUGUUCAAUCUACAUGUCCCAGGCUUAUAAUGAAAAUAAAAUUUAGGGAGUUUGGGAUGACAUACCGAAUAAAUGAUGCAAAAAGGUUGAGAUGAACUCUUGGAUACUUUACACAAUGCCAGUAGCUAGGAGAUUUUUGAGAGAAUUUUGAGAAUAAAUGCAAGAGAAAAAAUGUCAGUUGGAUGGUCACUUAAACUAGUUUGACCGCGAUUGCUAUAAUUGUUCUGCUAUCUCAUACUCGUAGCAUCCGUGAUCAUAUUGCACAGACUUUAGUCGCUCUGCACUUAGUUAUUCAGGCCAACAUGCCACUUUCCCAACUCUCUUUUUCCUGGAUCAUUCUCAAAAAGCUACAAAAAUAAAAUCUACUCUGUUAUUGCAUAAAAUAAAGUAUAUGUGCCACUUUUUGUGGCAUAAUGGGUUGCCUCUCAUUGAGCGCUUAGCUUAAUUUCUUAGAAAGAUGCCUUUGAUAAUCCUCAUUUGUGCCUCCACUUAGAGGAUUUAAAUGCUUUGCCCAACUUUUAAUCAUUCUAUCUUUGAGGUUCUUUGGACAAAAAGGGGGCAUGAGAAUGCAUGUUCUAUCAUGCCACUUCAAAGACUUAAAACUUUUACCUAAUUUGACAUCGAACUUUUGGUUUGGUGCCCUGGGUAAAAGUGAGCAUAUAAAUACGCCAUUCCUUGUGCUUUUGAAGUUGAGCAUCUUGUCCAUUGAUGGAUUGGGUUCUAUGUGCUUCAUUGGAAUAUCGAAGUCCAAAAUGUAGAAAUCAUUCUUUAUCUUCCCGCAGCCCAUUAUUUAACUCAGUGAAUCGAUUCUUAUCACAUUCUCGAGGUGCAAUGUUUAAAAUUGGGGAGAAUAAAAUCCAAUCCCUUGUCUUAGAAUUAUUUCCUCCAAAGUAUCUUUACCCUAAAAUGAGCUAGGGUUGUCAUAAGAAAUUUACUUUAUUUUUCCUUGAGACUCUAGCACCAUUCCUUCUAUUAUGGCUUCUUCUUCCUUAUAUGAUAUGGAUGAUUAGGGAGCUGCCGAAGAGUCUUCACUACCAAGAUCAUCAUCAUAGCUUGGUUUCUCGUCUUGACCAAUCUCCUCUUGGGUAAUGGUCAUGGUAAUGAUAGUUUUAAGCUUUUCUUCUUCACCUAAUACCUCUUUCUUGACAUUUGUCCAUUCUUGAUGUAUGUGCUCUAGGGCCUCCUUCGUUGCUUCCAACUGAUCCAAACUGUCUUGUAAUCUUAGGUCACAGCUAUUGGACUAGGUAUCUUGCUCUUCCUUCUUCUCUUUAUAAUACCUAUCAAUCUCACAAAAAAACUAGCAACUUGAAUAGUAUAAUGACUGAGAAGGAAUAUGGACAAUCACUCUAAUGUCUAUCUCGAUCACUAUACAAAGAGCACCUAUACUCCCUAUAGGAUUGAUAUGAUUAAUCCAUCUCUCUUAGGGGAGCAUAUUCACAAUCUCUCCUGAAGUGUGGUAUAUCGUUAUAUGGAUAUGGAUCGUCAAAUAGGACUUCCAACUACCAACAUCAUAUUUGUUGGAAGUUGCCAUAGAAAAAAUAAAAAUAAAAAUAAACUAAACACUACCUACAAAAGAAAAUCACAAACAAAUAUAUACAAGCGUGAAUUCAAGAAAGUAACUAAAAUUCCAAACUAACUUAACACGCCAAAUUGUUCCCCGACAAUGGCGCCAUUUUUGAUAGCGCUCAACAUACAGGUUAAUUUAAGUUUAAAGGGGUCAUCACAAAUAUAUUUACCAAACUUUGGAGUCAGAGUCAAAUCCACGAGAAAAAAUGUGAGUGGCUAUAAAAUUAGUUUGAAAUGAUAGAUACAAGUUAAAUUCAAACAAAUGGUACAAAAAGAUAAAAUAGGGUAUAGGUUCCUACACUAAUAUAUUUUUUGGUUUUUUUAGUAUAAACUCAGAGCUAUGAGUAAUUGGAGUUUUAAAAACUAAACAUGGAUCUUGGGAUUAUGCACUACUAAAGGAGUCACAUGUGAGAGUGAGUCAUCAACAUUGAUUUCGUAAAUCAAAUAUGGGUAGGCUUAGUUAUAGAUUUUGAUGCUAGUCUUUCAACAAAACACCAAACUUUCGCCCACUGAUUUUUUUGAAUAUUGAAUAGGUGUGUUAAACAAUUGGUAACCACACCUCAAUCUAGGCAUCCCUAUUUCUAGGAUGAUACCCGUGGUAUAGUUACCCUCAUAUUCACCCUUAUAUCUAAGAUAGUAAAAAUUUAGCAAACUACACACAUAAUUGUCCAUCAUUGCUUUGGUCUCCACAUCCCUCUUUCGAGGAUGAUAUGAAUUUAUAAAGUUAACCCAAAAACCUUCUUUCGAAGAUGGCCUUAAACUUUCUAGAGCUUGGAAAUUUUAAUCAUUAAACCCAUAUGGGUAUUUGAGGAUUUCACAUAUCAAAUACCAACCAAAAUAGCAUAGCAAUGAUAAAAAACCCAUAAACUUGAACUACCAAAUAGAUGCUAACACUAACAACCCACACACACUUUAACCUUUAUUCACAUGUAACCCCAAGAGGGAGAUUUAGCUAUAUAUAAGAUAAAUAAGCAUAGAUAUACCCAUAAUCUCCAUUGACUUUAAUUAUUAAAGAUUUAAGUGAAUGUUAUUUCAAACUUGGUUCUCCCACAAUAUCAAUAAUAAAAGUGAGCAAAUCAUCAACUUAGAAAGUCUCCAAUGUAUUCUUCACCGAAAAUUUAUACAAUAUUUUCUUCUCCAAAAAUGGAGGUUAUGAACUACGCUAUCACUAAAACCUAAAAAUUUAGGGAAUAUGGAAUUGUUCAAUUUUGUGAAAAAGGGAUCAGCAUGUGCAAUUAAUUUUUUGCUUUUCGGCUGAAAUCCUCUGCGAUCGUGAUUGACUGACCAUCCUUAACUGUCACGACCGAGAUCAGUAGAUUGCUACCACGGUAACUGAGGUCCUCCUAUUUUAGGUUUUUAGCUUCACUUUCUUUCUACCUUUUUUUAUCAUUUUGAGCUCUAGUCCACAUCCUUCUAAUACUUUAACUCUAUGCCUAAAAAAAGUGGAUAUUCAUGCAUCUAAUUACAAUUAUGUCUCAUUUAUUCAACCAUAACAAGGUAAUGUGAACAAAAAAAUAAGUGCAAUUAAGUUGUAAACUCAGUACUCAUGAAUAACAUAAUAAUAUGUCACUCUAAAGAAGGCAAUAGCCAUGCCACUUUGAAGGAGAUGAUAGUCUAUAACAUAAUAACAAGACAUGCUGAAGAAGAUUGUUAUCCAUAGCAUAGUAACAUAUCAUUCUCAGGGAGGUGAUGGACCAUCGUAUGAUAUUGUGUCACUUUCAAGGAAGUGAUGGUCCAUGACAUAAUAGCAUAGCAUGUUGAGGAGGUGAUGGUUCAUAGCAUAAUAAUGUGUAACCUUGAAGGAGGUGACGGUCCAUAACAUAAUAACAUAUCACAUUAAAGGGGGUGAUGGUCGAUAGCAUAAUAAUGUGUCCCCUUGAAGGAGGUGACGGUCUAUAAUAUAAUAACAUAUUACAUUGAAGGAGGUUACAGUCCAAAAUAUAAUGAUAUGUAACUCUAAGGGAGGUGACAUUCUAUAUAAUAAUUUGUUACCUUGAAGGAGGUAAUGAUCUAUAACAAGUCACACUAAAAGAGGUGAUAAUUUAUAAUAACAUAUCACCUCUGAUAAAGUAAUGGUCUGAUGUAUCUUCUCGAUGGAGGAAAACCAAAAUAUAAUAAGAUAUUUCACAUUUAAUAGGGUGACAAUCUAAUAGGUUUUCUUUUCAAAGGGUGGAUUCCCCAAAUAUAAUAAGAUAUGUCCCCUCAAGUGGGGUGACAAACUAUUUCUCAAAAGGGUGGUUGACCCAAAUAUAAUAUGAUAUGUCACCUCAAGUGGGGUGACAAUCCAAUUGGUUUUCUUAGAGGGUAGAAAAUCCUUAGUUUCCCAUAAAGCUUUGGUGUUUAAAAUAAUUGAAAGACUAAACCCUUAUAUAAAAUUGCCUAUGUCUCUUGCUAGAACAAGAAUCAUGUCAGAUAAAGUUCAGUCUUGAAACUAAUUCAAAGAAUUUAAGUUUUUGUUAGAAGGAUAAAGGAAUAUAUUCAUAAAUAUGUAAGAAAAGGUAGAGGUUGAUUUGUUGAAUUUCAUCCUUUGUAAUGUUGGUCCUUCAAAGGACUUGUGCAUGUCCUUAGAUUCAGGAUCAAUCCCUUAAACAUUAAGAGGAUACUUUUACAUUAUUUAUUAGAGGCAGUCUUACAUAAAGUAACUUUCAUUGCUUAAACAACCCUCAUUAAUAAUGUAACAAUUUGUCGUAACUAAGUCAAGAGUUUAAUAGAAGAUAGAGUUUAAAGAUAAAGUCGUUUUACACAUGAUGAUUUAGAGAUAGUGGUUUGGAAAAUAUCUCCAUAGCUUAACCACUAUGACCAAGAAUUUUCCUACAAAAUUAGAGAACAUGUUAGAGAUCAUAAUAGAGUACUAGAAACAUAAAUCAAUAGAAAAAUGGCGAAAAAAAGUUGUCUGGAUUACUAUGGCAGGGCAUGGUGGGUCCGGUAAUCUCCUUUGUCAUGCUUAAUGUUGUCAACAUUAUAACUUUAAUUUUACUAUAUCCAAAGAAACUUUUUUAGUUUUGAGAGACUAGCUGUGUUGAUUUUAUCUUGAUCUCCUGAUGUUCUUUGUUGAUCAUUGAUUUGCAAGCUUUACUGAUCUCAAAUUCUGCAUUUUCAAAAAUGUUUAAUGAUUAUCCUCAAAAAUUAUUUCCUAAUUUAUAACAUAAAAACUCUCAAACCUCCUUGUAACUCAUGAAAUUAUUUAGGAUGGAAUUUUUAAGAUCUACUCAAAAAUUCUGCCCUAGUCUAAAAUGUAAAAUACUUGAUUCUUUCUGACGUAGCAUAGCUUAAAAUAUGAGAACUUCUCAAAAUUAUGCCCCAAUUUUAGCUUCGGCAACAUCUGGUGUUCAACUUUGUUGAAAAUUUUAUGUUUUGUAGAAUUUUUAAGACCUUCUCAAAAACAAUUUCCCAUUUUAAUGCUUCAAUUAUCAUCUCCAUAUAAGUUGGAAAAAACCCUCUAGAUGAAUUUUUAAGAUCUUCUCAAAAAUUCUACCCCAAUUUUAUGUGAAUCUCACGAGAAAUAUGACUGAGUCAGUGUGAUGCCUACGUACCCCAUUGAGGCAGGAAUGAGGUCAAAAAUAGUUUCAAUAUACAAUAAAAUGAUAAAUUUUCUAAGGGGUUGACCAAAGCCAACAUAGACCACCUAUGUAUCUUAUUUUUUAGAAUUCAGGUCAAACUUAGUUCAUUUAAAGCAAAAAGCAUAUUUAAUAUCUUUGAUAACAUGACCAAAUCUAAUACAGGACGCUUACGUAUUUCACUAUGGAAAUCAGGUCAAACGUAAUUUACUAAAACCAAAAUAUAUAUUUAGAGAAAAUCAAAUCAUAAAGUAUGAUUACAAAGAAAUAAAGUAGAAAAGUGCGAUUAUAGGGAAAUUAAAAUGAGAAAGUACAAUUAAAAAGAAAGAAACAGUAACUUCAUAAUGCAAGAUAGAAGGACACCAAAAGUGUGCCUUUAAGGGAACUUCAUUCUUCUUUGCGGCUGAUGGUGCCAAUGACUACUUCUUAUAAUUUUGCAAUGGAUUGUUGUUAACAUUAGUUGGAGCUUCUUCCAGUGUUAUCACUUUGCUGUGAAUUAGACCAAAACUUUUGUGCCUGAGGGUUAUACAUUUCUUGGUAUCAUGUCAAACAACUCCAAAGUGGUAAGAACAUCACUUGUUUGGAUCAUACCAAUUAACAAAAGUGUUCACAGAUUUUCUUCCACAGGAUGAAGUAGCCUUGCUUCUUUCAACCUUUCAUAAAUAUGAGUAAAUGAUUCUUCCAAUAACGUGAAGAUUCUGGGAGGAUUUCACGAAUGAUUUGCACAAGAAGAAUUACUUUGAUAGUUUUUUGGUAGAGGUUGAGUAUGAUAUGUUGCUUGCACAUUGUAGACUAGAUAGUGAGCAUACAGAGAAUUGAGUUGGUAUCCUGGGAAUCAUUUUUGGUUUGAUGUAUUUCCUUGAGUUAUAACUCCAAUAAUUUCUUUAUCUUUUUUCUUUCUAUUUUUGUAAGAGCCAGUCUGGAAACCUUUAUAGGUGGAUUAAAGUUCUAUCUAAUAUAUUAUUUUUCCUGUCUUGAGGCCAUCCUCAAUUAUUUCUCUAUUGUUAAAAAUUUCAGUAAAUGUUUUUCCAACCAUCAUUACAAUGCGAUCAAAAUAUACUAGAUUUAAGUCAUGUAAGAAGUAACUGAUCAUUUUAGCUUCCCUCAUAGGAGGAUGUAGCCUCGUUUUCUCUUCUAUCCACCGUAUGGCAAAUUCACGAACACUCUUAUUUGACUUUUUAAUUAGCUCUAUGAUAGAUAUUAUGGUAGGAAGGAUAUUUACAUGAAACAUAGAAUGAUCCAUAAAAUUAUUUUCCAAGUCAUCCCAUGUGCCCUAUUUAGUCAAAUCUUAUUUAGCAUACUAUUCUAAAUCCUUUCCACUCAAACUUAGACGAAAUAUCUUGAACUGUAUUCCCGCAUUUUUUUCCACACCAUUAAACUUUUCACAAUAAUUUUGCAAAGUAAAAAAGGGAUUUCCAAACCCAUCAAACUUCUCAAAUUUGGGUAUCAUGUAAUCAGAAGGAAACUUAAUUUUGGGAAAUACACACAACUCUAUAAACUUUACACAUUGGUUACUUUCAAGCCCCCAAAGUCUUAUCAUUGCAUAUUCAAAGACCUUGAGCUUUCAAUUUACUUUGACAUCAGUUUUUACCCUUAGAUCAUUCUCACUUUCAAUAUAAUGAUUAACAUCUAGGAAGUAUAACCCUUGAGUUUGUAUCACCAGUGGGCGGUAGCAUAGCUGUACAAUGGUGGAGUAUGGUAUGACAGUGAUGUUCUAAAAUUUUGAAAGAGAAAAUGUGUACACAAAAGGAGCAUUCAUCAAAGAAUUUGCAUUUUGAGAAGUAGUUAAAUGACCUCCCUGAUCAACUCCAUCUUAUGUCUGAAACAUAGGCCAUUUUUAUCGAGAAAUAGGACGUAGAUUCAUGUAUGGAGGAGUUUGAAAAGGUGUUCUACUUUGCAUCUCCAUGAGCCUUAGUUAGACUAUUUGUUGUUCCUAACUAUAAACUACCUCUGGGGUUAUUUCUCUUCUUAUUGAGGCACUAGGGUCCAUUGCCACAGAGAAGGUGAGAACUGACUUAGAUGAGGCAUUUGUGUUGAUCAAACUAGGGUCCAUAGUUAAAUAGGUCUUUUUUCAGCCUAAGUAAGAAUAAAUGUGUCAAUAGUUACUUUCUUGACCUUGAACUGUGUGAAAUACUGAUGUUCUACUAGCAAUUACUUGAUAUUAUGUUGCUUUUAGUCUUUGUGAAAGGAGAAAAUUUGAUUACAAACACAAAUUAGCCUCUCUCUAAGAAGAAAGAAAAAUGCUCUAAAAGUUACAAUGUUAGUUCAUGAGUUUUUAUAAUUGACCAAAGUAAGGUUCGAAAUAGAAUAGUCCUAAAUUCAAAGAGUAGAACAAUUAGGGAAAGUCACUUAAUAAUCAGAAUUUUGAUAAACUUUGAAUUUAAACUAAGUGAUUUUGAUGUAUUUGGGUAUUCACAAAUAAACUUCUUAAAAAGGCUUAUUUGUAAAGCACUUUUGAAAAUAAUGGAGUCUUAUUACUCCUAGAAUAUUCGGGUAACUCUAGCUUAACUAAGUGUGAGAAAAAAGCAAUUUGUAAGAGCAAUAUGGUCAAUGUGAAUUGAAUAAUAACCUAAUGGAUUUUUUGAAUAAAAUUUGGGUUAAUUUGAAGGGAUUUUAUUUAUAGAUUUCUAAGGGCAUUUUAGGAGGAUUCAAAUUUUUGUGUAUUCUAUGCCUAAUAGCACUCUAAGACUUCAAAAUAGUAUAAUGGACUAGUCUUGUUUAAAGUCAAACAUAUGUUAUUUAAACACAGAAAUCAAGAAAAUAUAGACAAAGCAAAAUAGUAAAAUACUGUAGCACAUAAACAAAUUUUAACGCGCCCUAGCGUACCUGGGACCUUUCAAGCAAAGGUAAGCUAGUGUUUGAUGGAUAUAUAUACCAUUUGUAAGAUAUUUCAUUUCCACCAAAAAAAUAUUAUACAAAUUUUAUGGAUAAAUAAAUGUGGAAUAAAAUGAGGGAAAGGGAAAGUAGGUGACAUCAAUCCAACACAGGGGAGCAAAACUAAAUGAAACCUCAUUGAGGUUCCUUCGAUCCUUAACUUUGUUAAAUUUCUGAAGACCUUUCUAAUGAAAAUAUUUAAUAGAUUUAAAUUAAAAUUACUACAUAAAUAAAACACUCAAACCCAAGGAACAAUAGUCUGUACAAUCUGGCUUAAUAUCCUUCAAUUUAACACAUAAGGAAUGAUAGUUUGUUAUUAACUCGCGGUUAAUAUAUCAAAGUAGGUUUUCCUAAUAGGCCCAAUACCCACUACGAUAUUGGGUCAUCCUAGGCUCAUGCCUAAAAGUGUUUUGAUUUUCCUUUAUCCUAGGCAUCUAGAAUAUGUUUUGACUAGGUUUCUAAGUGGACAACUUGGGUUUGGAAAUACAAAUAGUCAUUAGAUGCCUAACCUAUCAACAAACUAUUGUAUUUUUAACAUUUUUAUUUAGAAUUGAUCAAUACAGGCCACGACAACCAUGAAACCUCAAAUAGUUAAAUAUCAUGUGAGGACGUAUACUAUAAAUGCAACGAUUAAUUGUAAUGUCACAUACUUUUCCUAGCUAAUUUCAUAUCAAGAAUGUCUAGUAUUAUCUUCUAACUUUAAUGGUGGUUAUUGAUGAGGAAUUUUCAAUAUUUUCACCUUUUGUCAUAUUGUAAAUUCAUUAAGCUUCCCAUCGAUAUAAGGUUCGCUCAAAUCUGAUAAUCGGGUUAAAAGUUAUGACUUUUUCAAGUUUCCGUCGUAAAACAAUGCCAUAUUAGUUAAUGGCGCACCGUGCCACAAGAGGAAAUGGCUUUUGGGAAAUUCCAGUAGGGGUCUAUGAUUAUGGUGCAUCGAGCCAUGGCCCAAACAUAGAAUUGUCCUUUUCCAGUGUCUUAGUACAAUUUCCUCCGUGUCGUACCAAAGUUCCAGUUUGCAAAAGAAGGGGAAACGUGAUGGCUCCGCAUCACGUCAGGGGUCCAAUUUGAGAAAAUUUUACUAAAAUUAUAUGAAGCGUCCAGGGUAAAAAGGGUCAACUUCCUACCCCUAUUUAAGCACGUGAUUCAUCCAGUUUUCACCCAAAAUACACUCUCUUCUCUCCAAAACCUCUCAAGAACAAGCUAGGGUUUUCAUAGAAGAUCUAAUUCAAAGAAAUUUCCUCCGUCAGUGUUCACAAAAUCACAAACUAAGGUAUGCAUAGUGUUCAUUCAUGGACUUCUUUCGUCCAUGAAAUCCAAGAAUCCCUUUUCCAACUUUAAGUUAUGGAUUUUCUGUAUGAUUUCAUAAUUGUGUUGUUCUUGUUCAUGUUGAUAAAUGAGAAAUUAAACUCUACUCCAUGUUGGGUGAUAAUUUCUAUGUGGGUUUAAUUAUUAUAGAUAUAGAUUCAUGCAAACCUAUCACUAAAUCCUUAAAUGAUGAAAUUAGAAUGUGACCAUGAUGUUUAAUUAAUGUACAAUGAUGAUUACAUGUACCAUGCCUAUAAUAUAUUUGAUUAAAUGCCUAGAUGAAGGAAAAGUGCCUAACUAGCAUGAUACCAUGAAAUCCCCAUGUAUGUAAAUGUUAUGCCUAUCACAUGUUUUGAUGAAAUGCUUUUAUAAAUGUACUAUGGAUUAUGAUAUUAGUUAUAUUUUCAAGUAAGUUAUGCUUGGUCAAUUAUCCUUCCAUCGAGUCCUAGGGUUACUAGUACAUAAAACAUUAGCUAUGUGCUUAGAGCCAUGUUAUGUUUUCACGAUACUCUUAUUCAAGCUAUGAUCCUUAGACUUCAGACAGUCUUAUGACUCAGGAAAUCUCCAUGAUCUCAUGACCUCAUUCAGUUUUUAGAUCUCAGUAAUAUUCCUUCAGUCAAUGGAAUUUAAUAAUUCAGCCCAUGUUCAGUUAAGUUAAAUCAUCUUCAGUGUCUAUUAAGAUGGAGUACAAAUUAGCACCGAGUGAACCCAAGGAUGGGAACACAUACUAUCAUAUGAGGGUGUGAUUCUUAAAAGUCAUCCUUGCAUUCCAGAACUAUAUAGCCUGCAAAGGUUGAGACAUCAACACUGUCUGUUGAGGGUUGAUGAGGUGGAUAAACACUGUCAGAUAAGGGCCCUACUGUUCUCGUAAAUGGGCCACUAUCAGAUGAGGGUCACCCAUAGCUUGUCCUUAAAAGUGGCGGGGUAAUGACACCCUUUCUAAUUAGGGUUACUAAUUGGACCCCAACUCAUCCAUAAUAGCAUAUUAGGGGUAUUUCGGUUAGAUAACUACUUUCCACAGUUUUAUGGUAUAGAAUCAGGACUGUCAGACACAAUCAAUCAAUCUCAGUAAUAGAUCUCAGAUAGUUCUUCAAAUUUCAGCACUGUCAGAUACUGUCAACUCAGAUAUAGUAGGAACUCAGAUAGUUCCAUCAAAUUCAAGACUGUCAGAUAUAGUCACUCAUGUUAUCAGUUAUAUUCUGAUUCAGAAAUCAUGUUAUCACAGUAAUAGUGUCAGUUCUUAUGUUUCAUGCAUGUAUUCUCACACACAUGAUAGUUAGUCAGUUAUUAUUAUUGUUCAUGCAUAUGAACAUCAUGCAUUUAUCCUACCUCACACACAUACCAGUAUAUUCAAAGUACUGAUGCAUUUGAGCUAUGGUGUCUUAUACCAUAGGUUCAGAGACAUGAGCUUUAGAGCAACAGUAGAUUCCAGAUAUCUGUAUAUAGAGUUGGAAGUGAGUCCUCAUCUUUCAAGGACAUAAUUAUUUCACUAUAAUAUCAUUAAUCUAUUUAUUAGCUAGAGUUAUAUGGGGACAUAUUCCAUCAACUAAUUACUCAGACAGUUUAGUCAGUUAAAGGCUUUGUAGACUAUUAUGUUUCAGCCUUUAGUAUUUUUUGUUUUGUUUUGGGUAUUCUAUUACCCCACCUAAAUGUUAUAUUAUCCAGAUCAUGUUCAUUAUUCAACCUUAUGUCCUUUUAGUUUAUGUUUCUGCAUUAUUAUAUCAUAUUAUUUAGUAUACAGGUACAGAUAUCAGCCAUGGGUUAGCUUGUGGUCCUUCGGGGUCAUAAGCACUGUGUAGCAUUUUAAGCAUCAGGAUCAGGGCAUUACAAACUUGGUAUCAUAGCCUAAGGUUCAAUAGAGUCCUAGAAAGUCUGAAAGCUGCAUCUAGUAGAUUCUUGUACAUAGGUGCGUUGCAUGCCUCAUUUAUGUGCAAGAGGCUAUAGGAUGUUUUAGAAAUAGUUUCCAUUCUUUUAGUAUUUAUGUCAUUCUAGUGAGCAUAAUCUCAAGUCAAUCUCUCAGUCUAAUUCAUUUCUCCCUUUAUUCUACAGAACAUGACUCGUAAAAGAAGAAACAGAUAUCAAUCAGCCCCUCAUUCCGAAGAACCUUUGGGCGAACAUGUUUCAAAUGCAGAAUUCAGAGCCGCAUUCAUUACUCUUGCUUAGUCAGUUUCUUCUUAGAAUGAAUAACCAGCUAUAGUUUCAGCCAAACUAGUUGCGAAAUCAGCUGCAGCCAAGAUUUGGGACUUCACCCGAAUGAAUCCUUCAUUCUUUCUUAGGUCUAAGACAGACGAGGACCCUCAGGAAUUUCUAGAUCAGGUGCAGAAGGUUACAGAAAUAAUGGUGGUUACUUGUCGCACUGAGAUAGCUGCAUAUCAGUUGUAGGAUAUUGCUCACACUUGGUUUAAAUAGUGUAAGUUAGAAAGGCUAGAUGAUGUAGGUCCUUUAGAGUAAGAGGAGUUUGUCACCGUAUUCUUAGACAGAUUCUUUUCCCAAGAGCUUAGAGAGGCUAAGGUGCUAGAAUUCAUCAACCUCGGGCAGGGAAAUAUGAUGGUGAAAGAGUAUUCUCUUUAGUUUACUAAAUUAGCUAGAUAUGCCCCUCAUGUGGUUGCGAACAGCAGAGCAAAGAUGAAUAAGUUAGCUUUAGGUGUGAAUGAUAGCAUAGUUAAUGAGUGCAGAUCUGCCAUGCUGAAUAGUAGCAAACUUUAGCUAGGCUUAUGACUCAUGAUAUGUAGAUAGAGAAGCAGAAAAUUUUGUAGAGGGAGAAAUAGAAUAAGAGAGCGAAGACUGGUAGUUUUAACUUUGCUCAGCCUAAAUCAGAAGGAGGAAACCGAUCCUAGUUUUAUCCUAAGUCAUUAGUUCUAGCUCCUUCUUUAGACAGUGCUCUAGUUUCUAAGUUCAGGGAGGGUAAUAGAGAUGGAUCACCAGGAUCUAGGUCUCAGGUCAGUGUUAGAAAUGCCCAAACUAAUCCCCUUUGUCAAACUUAUAGUAAGAACCACAAGGGUGCUUGCAGAGCUGGUAGUGAUGUCUGUUUCAUUUGAGGCAAGACAGGUCACAGAGUUAGAGACUACCUUCAGUCAGGUUAUUAGAGUCAUCUCCACUCUUCAACUCAGUCUGGUCACCCAAAUCAGCAGGGUGCCACCUCCAGUGCUACUAGUGGGCAAUGCCCAAAUCGUCUCUAUGCUCUUCAGUCCUGACAAGAUCAGGAAAAUUCUUCUAAUGUAGUUACUGGUACAUUAUAGAUCUUUCAUAUGCGAGUUUAUGCUUUGGUAGAUCUAGAAACUUCUUUGUCUUUUGUUACACCCUAUAUAGCAGGAGAUUUCGAAAUUAGUCCUGAAAUCCUAGCAGAGCCCUUUUCAGUCUCUACCCUAGUGGGUAAAACCAUCAUAGCCCGGUGGGUAUACAGGAACUACCCGGUUAUGAUAUCUCAGAAAGUCACUUCUCUAGACUUAGUGGAAUUAGAGAUGACUGAUUUUGAUGUUAUUCUCGACAUGGAUUGGCUUCAUUCCUACUAUGACACAGUCGACUGCAAAAACAGAAUAGUCUAGUUUUUGUUUCUGAAUGAACCCAUCCUAGAGUAGAAGGGUAGUGUAUCCAUUUUUAGAUAUCAGCUUAUUUCCUAUCUUCGGGCAAGGAAAAUGAUAUUUAAAGGAAGUGUCAAUUAUCUUGUUUGAGUUAAGGACACUAGUUCUGAAAUAACAAGUCUUGAAUAAGUCCCAGUAGUGAAUGAAUAUUCAGAUGUCUUUACCGAAGAUCUUCUAGGAACUCCUCCUGAAAGGGAAAUAGACUUUGGCAUUAAUCUUCUUCCUGAUACUCAACCUAUACCUAUUCUACCAUACAUAAUGGCACUAGCAGAACUCAAAGAAUUGAAAGAACAAUUGAAGGAUCUCUUAGAUAAGGGAUUCAUCAGGCCUAGCGAUUCCCCGUAGGGCGCUCCAGUAUCAUUUAUGUAUAAGAAAGAUGGUUCUCAUUGGAUAUGUGUAGACUACCAUCCACUCAAUAAGGUCACGAUCAAGAAAAAAUAUCCUCUUCCCAGAAUUGAUGAAUUGUUUGAUCAACAUUAGGGUGCCAGUUAUUUCUCUAAGAUAGACCUCAGAUCUGGCUAUCAUCAGCUCAUAGUUAGAGAAUGUGACAAUCCCAAAAUAGCUUUUCGUACUCAAUAUGGUCACUUUAAAUUCCUAGUCAUGUCAUUUGGUCCUACUAAUGCCCCAACCACUUUUAUGGACUUGAUGAACCGUGUAUUCAAGUAGUACUUGGAUAUGUUCAUCAUAGGCUUUAUAGAUAAUAUUCUAGAUUAUUCCCGCGGUGAUCAUGAUCAUGCAUACCAUCUCAGAACAGUACUUUAGACUUUCAAAGAUCAUUAGCUAUUCACCAAAUUCAGUAAGUGCAAAUUUUGGCUAAGGUUAGUAGCAUUCCUUAGUCAUAUUAUUUUUGGUGAUGGCAUUAGAGUAGAUCCUCAAAAUAUUAAAGCAGUAAGAAAUUGGUCUAGACCUAUCUCUCAAUCACAUAUCAGGAGUUUCUUGGGUUUGGUUGUCUAUUACAGAUGGUUUUUUGAGGGAUUUUCUUUUAUUUCAUCCCCUAUGUCCAAAUUGACUCAGAAGAAAGUAGAGUUUCAGUGGUCAGAUCCUUGCGAAAAGAGUUUUCAAGAGUUCAAGACUAGACUUACCUCAGCUCCAAUUCUAUCUUUUCCAGAUGGUUCAGAUGGUUUCAUAGUGUAUUGUGAUAAAUCUAGAGUAGGUUUGGGUUGUGUCCUCAUGCAGCAUGGUAAGAUCAUAGCCUACUCCUCUAGACAAGUUAAGCCACAUGAGAGGAAUUAUCCUACUCAUGAUCUUGAUUUAGCAGCCAUAGUAUUUUCCUUGAAUAUUUGGAGGAAUUAUCUCAACAGAGUUCAUGUAGAUGUCUUCACAAAUCAUAAGUGUUUUAGUAUGUCUUUUCUCAAAAUGAUCUCAAUCUUUGCCAGAAAAGGUGGUUAGAGCUCUUGAAAGAUUAUGAAAUAAGUAUUCUUUAUCAUCCGGGAAAGGCCAACGUAGUGGCCAAUGCUCUCAAUAGACUAUCCAUCGGUAGUGUUUCUCUUGUUGAGGACAGUAAGAAUAAGUUAGCUCAGGAAGUCCAUCAGCUUGCCAGACUAGGCAUUUAUUUAGUUGAUACAGAUGAGGGUCAUAUACGGAUUUAGAGUAGUUCAAAACCAUCUCUAGUUUCCGAGGUAAAAGAAAACCAAGAUAGGGAUCCCAACUUUGUCAAGUUGAAAGAGUCAGUUUAGGAUCAGAAAAUAAACGUUUUCUCCUAAGAGGGAGAUAGUGUUCUUCGUUGUCAGGGUUGUCUCUGUGCUCCAGGUGUAGAUGACUUAAGACAGCGAAUUAUAACAGAAGUGCAUAGUGCACGCUACUCCAUUUAUCCAAGGGCCACAAAGAUGUACCGCAACUUACUUGAAAUCUAUUGGUGUAGUGGGAUGAAGAGAGACAUUGUAGAGUUUAUGGCUAAGUGCUCUACAUAUUAGUAGGUUAAGAUAGAGCUUCAAAAGCCUAAUGGGUCCAUGAGGAGUUCACUAUUCCUACUUGGAAGUGGGAAGUUGUGAACAUAGUCUUUAUGAAGGGUUUUCCUCGAACUAGUCAUCAACAUGAUUCAGUCUGGCUCAUUGUAGACGGAAUGACCAAAUCAUCUCAUUUCCUUCCAGUUCACAUCUCUUAUUCAGCCGAGGAUUAUGCCAAACUCUACAUUAGGGAGUUGGUCAGAUUAAAUGAUGUUCCGCUAUCUAUUAUCGUAUACAGAGGUACCCAUUUCACCUCUCAUUUCUGGAAAGCAUUCUAAAAGGGUCUUGGUACCCAUGUUCAUCUUAGUACUAUCUUUCAUCCUCAAACAGAUGGUCAAGCAGAAAGGACCAUUCAUAUGUUAGAAGAUAUGCUAAGGGCGUGUGCAAUCGAUUUCAAGGAAAGUUGGGAUGACCACUUACCUUCGAUAGAGUUUGCAUACAACAACAACUAUCAUUCCAGUAUUCAAAUGGCUCCAUUCAAAGCUAUCUACAAUAGGAGAUGUAGAUCUCCAAUUGGUUGGUUCAAAGUUAGUAAGCCCUCAUCCAUAGCUCCUGAUUUGGUAUUCGAUGCCUUAGAAAAGGUCUAGUGAUUAGAGAAAGACUCCAUGCUGCUCAGAGCCUACAAAAUCCUUAUGUAGAUAUUCAUAGAAAAGAUCUCAAGUUUGAGAUCGGUGAAGCGGUUCGUUAAGUAAGGGAAACUUAGUGCUCGAUAUGUCAGUCCUUUCAAGAUUAUCAGUCGAUUUGGCAAGGUAUCUUAUGAGCUUAAAUUUCCUUCAGAUCUAGCCUCAGUUCAUCCAGUCUUUUAUGUCUCUUUUCUCAAGAAGUGCAUAGGUGACCCAUCAGUUGUAGUCCCUAUUCAGAGCAUUGAUGUUCAGAACACUCUAUUUUAUAAAGAGAUUCUAGUCAAUAUCUUAGACUAUCAAACUAGUAGAUUAAGGAACAAAGAAGUCCCAUUAGUUAAGGUUCUUUGACGAAAUCAGUUCAUAGAGGGAGCUACUUGGGAAGAAUAGGUAGACAUGCAUACCAAAUAUCCUCACCUCUUUUUCGCCAACUCAGAUAAUGAUCAAGGUAGCAGUUCUUCUUAAGCUUACUCAGUUUCAUGUUCGGUGUUCAUCAAAAACUUAGUAUGCAGCUUUAUGCUUAUGUUCCCAUUACAAACUUGGUAUCAAGUACCAUUGCAUAUUCAAUCAUGCACACAUGUAUCAGUUUAGUUAUGUAAUUAUACAUCAAACAUGCAUUCUCAUUGUGAGAAACUUAGUUCUUUAGAACACUCAGUCAUGCAUUCAUGAAUCAGUUACAUAUGCAUCAGAUAUGCAUGUUCAUUUUUAUAUGUUCAGCUUGUCAGUCAUGUCAGUCAUGAGAUCAUGUUCUAGUUAUUCAUGUUCAGUAUGUACGUUAGUUGUUUUUUCUCCCCUCCCAGUCAGUCUCAUUCAAAGAUGAAUGUUCUCAAGGGGGAGAUAUUGUAAUACCCCUUACUUUUCCUAGCUAAUUUUCUCUCAAGAAUAUCUAGUAUUAUCUUUUAAAUUGAAUGAUGGUUAUUCCAUGAGGAAUUUUCAAGAUUUUCACUAGAAGGCGAUAGCAUAGGUGGACACUGGUGGAGUAUGGUGUGACAGUGAUAUGUUCUAAACUUUUGGAAGAGAAAAUGUGUACACAAAAGGAGCAUUCGGCAAAGAAUGAGCAUUUUGAGAAUUGGUAAAAUGGCCUCCUCGAUCAACUCCAUCUUAUGUCUGAAAUAUAGGCCCUUUUUGUGGAGCAACAGGAGGUAGAGUCAUGUUUGGAGGAGUCUGAGAAGGUGUUCUUUUUAGCAUCACCGUGAGCCUUAGUUAGGCUAUUAGUUGUUCCAAACUAGAAACUACUACUGGGAUUAUUUCUCAAAAAGUUACAAUGUUAGUUCAUGAGUUGUUAUAAUGACCAUAGUAAGGUUUGAAAUAGAAUAUCCUAAAUUCAAAGCAUAGAACAAUUAGGGAAAGUGACUAAAUAAUCAAAAUUUUGACAGACUUUGAAUUUAAAAUAAGUGAUUUUGACGUAAUUGGGUAUUCACAAAUAAAGCUUAUUUGUAAAGCUCUUUUGAAAAUAUUCAGGUAAUUCUAGCUAUAACUACGUGCGAGAAAAAACAAUUUGUAAAAGCAACGUGGUCAAUGUGAAUUGGAUAAUAACCUAAUCAAUUUUUUGAAUAAAAUUCGGGUGAAUUGGAAGGGAUUUUAUUAUGGACUUCUAAGGGCAUUUUAGAAGGAUUCAAAUUUUGGAGUCCUCUAUGCCUAACAGCACUGUAAGACUUUAAAAUAGAAUAAUGGACUAGUCUUGCUUAAAGUCAAACAUAUGUUAUUUAAACACAGAAAUUAAGAAAAUAUAGUCAAAGCAAAAUAAUAAAACACUUUAGCACAUAAAUAAAUUUUGACACGCCCUAGCAUACUUGGGACCUUUCAAGCAAAGGUAAGCCUAGUGUUUGAAGGAUAUAUAUAACAUUUGUAAGAUAUUUUAUUGCCACCAAAAAUAUAUUAUACAAAUUUUAUGGAUAAAUAAUGUGGAAUAAAAUGAGGAAAAGGGAAAAUAGGUGAUAUCAACCCCACACAGUGGGGCAAAACAAAAUGAAACCUCGUUGGGGGUCCAUCGAUCCUGAACUUUGUGAAAUUUCUAAACACCUUUCAAAUGAAGAUAUUUAAUAGAUUAAAAUUAAAAAGACUACAUAAAUAAAACACUCAAACCCAUUGAACAAUAGUCCUUACAAUAUGGCAUACUAUCCUAAAAUUUAACAUAUAAGGGAUGAUAGUUUGUUAUUGACUCGAUGUUAAUAUAUCAAGGUAGGUUUUCUUAAUAGGCCCAAUACCCACUUAGGUAUUGGGUCAUCCUAGGCUCAUCCCUAAAAGGGUUUUGAUUUUGCUUUAUCCUGACUUCUAGAAUAUGCUUUGACUAGGUUUCCAAGUGGACAACUUGGGUGGUGAAAUACAAAUAGUCAUUAGAAGCCUACCGUGUCAGCAAACUACUGUAUUUUCAACAUUAUUAUUUGGAAUUUAUAAAUAGAGGCCACGACAACCAUUAAACCUCAAACAGUUAAAUAUCAUAUGAGGAAGUAUACCAUAAAUGCAAUGAUUAAUUAUAAUACGUCGUACUUUUUCUAGCUAAUUUCAUCUCAAGAAUGUCUAGUAUUAGCUUAUAACUUGAAUGAUGGUUAUUCCAUAAGGAAUUUUCAUUAUUUUCACUUUUUGUCAUGUGGUAAAUUCAUUAAGCUUUCCAUUGAUAUAAGAUUCACCCAAAUCCGAUAACCAAGUCAGAAGUUAUGACUUUCUAAAGUUCCUAUCUUAAAACAUUGCCAUAUUAGUCAGUGGCACACCGCGCCACAUGAGGAAAUGGAAUUUGGCAAAUUCCAGUAGGGGUCUGCAAUUAUGGCGCGUCACAUCAGGGCCCAAACUCAGAAUUGUCCUUUUCCAGUGUCUUGGCAUGAUUUCCUCCGCGUCGCUCCAAAGUUUUAGGUCACAAAAUAAGGGGCAACGCGAUGACUCCGCAUCACGCCAGGGAUCUAAUUCGAGAAAUUUUUAUUAAAAUUACAUGAAGUGUUUAGGGUAAAAAUUUUCAAUUUCCUACCCCUAUUUAAGCAAGUGAUUCAGCCACUUUCCACCCAAAAUACACUCUCUUCUCUCCAAAACCUCUCAAGAACAAGCUAGGAUUUUCAAAGAAGAACUAAUUCAAAGAAAUUUUCUCCGUCAAUCUUCACAAAAUCAUGAACUAAGGUUUUGAUAGUGUUAAUUCAUGGACUCCUUUCGUCCAUGAAGUCCAAGAAUCCCUUUCCCAACUUCAAGUUAUGGAUUGUCUUUAUGAUUUCAUGAUUGGGUUGUUCUUGUUCAUGCUGAUAAAUGAGAAAUUAAACUCUACUCCAUGUUGGGUGAUAAUUUCUAUGUGGGUUUAAUUAUUAUAGAUAGAGAUUCGUGCAAACCUAUGACUAAACCCUUGAUUAAUGAAACUAGAAUGUGACCAUGAUGUUUAAUUAUUGUACAAUGAUAUUUACAUGUACCAUGCCUAUAAUAUGUUUGAUUAAAUGCCUAGAUGAAGGAAAAGUGCUGAACUAGCAUGCUACCAUGAAAUCCCCAUGUAUGUACAAGUUAUGCCUAUCAUAGGUUUUGAUGAAUGCUUCUAUAAAUGUAUUAUGGAUUAUGAUGUUGUUAAAUGUUCAAGUAAGUUAUGCUUGGUCAUUUUUUCCUCCAUCAAGUCCUGGGGGUACUCGGACCCGAAACAUUAGCUGUGUGCUUAGAGCCAUGUAAUAUUUUCACGAUACUCUCAGUUAAGCUAUGAUCCUUAGACUUUAGAUAGUCUUAUGACUCAGGAAAUCUCCAUGAUCUAAUAACCUCAGUCAAUUUUCAGAUAUCAGUAGUAUUCUGUCAGUCAAUGGAAUUAAAUAAUUCAGCCCAUGUUCAGUUGAGUUAAAUCAUGUUUAGUAUCUAUUCAGAUAGGAGUAGAAAUUAGCACCGAGUGAACCCAAGUAUGGGAACACACACUACCUGAUGAGGGUGCUAUUAGGUUGAGACAUCAACACUGUCUGAUUAGAGUUGAUGAGGUGGAUAAGAACUGUCAGAUAAGGGCCCCACCAUUCUCUUAAAGGGGAUACUAUUAGAUGAGGGUCUCCCACAGCUUGUCCUUACCAGUGGUGCGUUAUUGAAACUCUUUCUAAUUGGGAUUAUGGAUUGGAUCCCAGCUCAGCCAUAAUAACAUAUUAGGGGCAUGUCAGUUAAAUAACUACUUCCCACAGUUUCAUGUUACAAAAUUAGGACUGUCAGACAAAGUCAAUCAGUCUCAGUAAUAGAUCUCAGAUUGUUCUUCAAAUUUUAGGACUGUCAGAUACAGUCAACUCAGAUACUGUAUGGAACUCAAAUAGUUCCAUCAGAUUUAGGACUAUCAGAUACAGUCACUCGUGCUAUUAGUUAUUUUCAGAUUUAGUAAUCAUGUUAUCACAAUAUUAGUGUCAGUUGUUAUGUUUCAUGUGUGUAUUCUCAUGCUUAUGAUAGUUAGUCAAUUAUUAUUAUUGUUCAUGCAUAUGAACCCUAUGCAUUCAGACUACCUCACAUGUAUCUUAUACCAUAGGUUCAAAGACACAAGCUUUAGAGCAACAGUAGAUUCCAGAUAUGCACAGAUAGAGUUAGAAGUGAGUCCUCAUCUUUUGAUGACAUGAUUAUUUCCCAAUUAUCACAUUAAUUAGUUUAUUAGUUGGAGUUAGUUGUGGACAUGUCCCAUCAACUCCUUACUCAGACAGUUCAGUCAGUUAGAGGCUUUUUAGACUAUUAUGUUUCAGACUUCAAUAUUUUUAGUUUUGUUGUGAGUAUUCUAUUUCCCCAUGCAAAUGUUAUAUUAUUCAGAUCAUUUUCAGUAUUGAUCAUUAUGGCCUUUCAGUGCAUGUUUCCACAUUAUUAUGUCAUAUUAUACAGUGUACAGGUACAGGUGUCAGUCAUGGAUUAGCUUGUGGUCCUUCGGGGUCAUGAGCAUCAUGUAGCAAUUCGAGCACCAGGCUCGGGGUGUUACAUUAAUAAUUACCAAAAUUUAAACACCUAAUUGCAAAAGUAAUCAUUAAUAAAAAUAUUAGUCAAACAAUGAAAUCCUUAUGGUUAGAAUCUAGAUGAGUACCCAUCGGAGUCUCUAUGCUUUACGAUCUACUUUUGAUACGUCAAAAAUAUUUGAACUUUAUAGUGGAUAAAGAGUUUAUUUGAUUUUAUUUUUUAAAAAAUACUUUUUACGAAAAAUAGAGUCAGCACUUAAUUUUGUAGGAUAUUAAGAAAAACAUUUAAAGAAAGAGAAUUUUGAAAGAAAGUAUUUUAUUAAAAAAUAAUUAGAGACUAGGUAAGGGUUAAAAUAUAUUUGAAAGAAGGUGUUAGACAAUUUUGAAAAUCCACAAAAUGUGGUUUCCGGCGGAUUAAACUUAUUUGGCCAAUUUGAAAAUUAUGAAUUACUUGAAAAAAUCUUAUUGAAAAAGCUUGAAUUUAUUUAAAAAUCUUAUUUCACAUAGAUAAAGUUUAUUUGACUAAUACCUUUCAUUUUAUUCUAAGUACUAAAAUAAACUAAGCAUCAAGUUUUCAAAUAAUUUCAACUUUAACAAUUUUACCGGAUUAAGACUUUGGGCUAAAUAGCUAACUCAAUUUCUUAAUUGUUGAUUUAAGCGAUUAGUAACUAUGAAAAGAUAUAAAUGAAUCCUCUCUCUAUAUAUAUAAAUAUGUAUGUAUAUAUAUAGUGUAUACCAAUGCACCAAACCUGUAUAUUACUUCCAUUCUUCAUCCACACCAUACAUUGGUGUAUAUAUUCUAUUAAUAAGGCAUAUAUUUUGAAUAUAGCAUUGUAUAUCUCUGCGUAUAUCAACCUUAUUCUCCAAGUAUUUGACCAUUUCUUGGACCUUGAUUGAGGUUUUUGACUUGAAGAUGAUAUAGGCCUCUUUGUCCCAUCAAGAAAUACAGGGAAUAGAGUUCGUUGGAUCUCAAGUCAAUGUUACAUACAUCAAGAAAAAUAUAAAGAGUAGAAUAUGUUCAAAUUGUACUAACAUAACUAGUCAAGAGGCAACAUUUUAGUUUGUUAUAGAUAUAUAUCCAUUGUUAAAUCUAGAAUCGAUUAGUAAGGAGUACAAGGGUCUAGGUUUUUUAAGAUAAUAUUGGAUUUUAAACAACACUUGCUAUAUGCAUAUAGAAGAUAGAUCGAACACAGUAGCAUGUUUCUUUCAAUAAUUACCUCGACAUAGAAACCAAUACUAAGAAAAUACCAGAAAAGAGAAAAAGAAAAUUAGUAUUUAUGAGUUAAUUGAGAAAAAUAAAAUUUAAACAUUGUAAAAGAUUUUCUAGGCUAUGUCAAACCAGUCUCAAUCACCUUGAGACCUCAAAUUGAAACUUAUAGAAAUAAAAACUGACCAUAAUAAAUUCGAGUCUCGUUCUUAGUUUCAAACAAAAGCAACCCUAAUAGAAAAACUCCUAGAACAUUAAAUAAAAUGCACCUACCCAAAGUUGAAAACUUUCGAUCACAUCUCAUAGCAUAAACUAAUUUCAACUAUCCACUAACAUUGUGAGUUCUUCAUAUCUUAAAUAACAAAAGUAAAGUUACAGAAAUGUAUGGAUUCAAAUAAAACAACUUCUAAAAUUCAUCAUCCCCAAAAAUAAAUUUCAUACCAUAAAGUAACGUUUGUAUCAAAGAGAAAAUCAUAAAAUAGCAAUUCAAAAUGGGGUGGAAAGAAGAAAAAUAAACCUAAAUCUACAACAACCAAACUUAGAUUACGGAUACAACAAUAUUUUUUAAGCUAAAACAUUGAACGAAAAGUACGGUAAACCAUGCAGGCAUUUGGAGAAAUUGUCAGUUGACUAAUACAAGACUAUAAUUCAAGCUACGUAGAACUAUAUGUUAACGCUAAAAGAAAACAUCAUAAAGAUGAAAUAACCAACUUUGAGAAUUGCAAUAUCAACUCAUGAAAUCAGACAGAAAACCUAUGGCUUUCAAAAAAAUCGGUCUACAACACAUAAUCCCAUCAUUACUACAAAAUCACUACUAGUAAGAAGAAAAAGAAGAAAUAACAAAGGUAUUAAAAAAGAAAGGUAUGUUUACCUUUUACGGAGCAGUAAACGAGGAUGAUAAACAAUUGAUGAUUUCACCACCGUCCUUGACUCAAAAAUAGCAAAAAAAUAAAACUUGAACUAGAAUUCUCACACCAUUAAGGCUAAAAACCGAAGUCCAAAAUUCGAGUAAAGAAAAUUUUUAGCCUUUUUUUAGUUCAGAAAAAACCUCUUUCUCAAGAGUGAAAGAAAAGGGUUUAUAUAGAAAACCAAAAUCCCAAAUUUUGAGGAAUUUUAAAUGUUGGAUAGAGAAUUUCAAGUGUAUUUUAGUAAUUCAACUCAGAGGUAAAGUUUGAGGAAUUUAAAAUAAUACUAUUCAGUAUGGAUUUAAAUUUCAAAUUGAAAAGAGGAUAAAGCUUAUAUAUUUGAGAGAAUUUCAUGGAAAUUUGUUGAUGUACCUACCCACGUGCCUAGUACGUGACUUUGGUAUGAAUAAAUAAAGAGAGAAGAUAAAAUAUAGCCUCGAGUUUGGAGUUGUUCUUUAUUAAUGAUAUUGUUAUCAUCAUUUUGUUAUCGACUUUCGUUGGUGUUGAAGUCGGCAUUAUACAAUAUUUUUGAUUGUUAAAUGUUGGGGUUUGUUUAUGCAUCGAACGGCUAAGUUGGAUGGGUUGUUCGUGUCAUUGCUGAAGUCGAUAUCAUUUAUUUGUUGCUAAUGGGUUGCACGUCAUUUGUGUUGUAUAGGUAAAUCAAAAAAAGAGGUGUGAGGAUGGAUCAGGUUGAGCUAUGGGCUAGGUUUAUUUUUGUGUAGGUUGGAGCGGCGGAUAUUGGGUUGGACAGGAUUGCUGGGUCAAUUUGACCAAAUUAUUAAAACAAAAUGAAAAAAAAGUUGGGUAAAUUAGGAGGAUUUUGGGGUUAUUUUUUAAAUAACCCCAAUUAGAUUGGGAUUUAGCCACUCUUAUUUAAUUUUUGGCCAAAUUAAAAAUCAAUUGGCCAAUUGCAUACAAUUGUGGCCAAUUUAAUUUCAAUUACAACCAAAUUUAAUAAUUUUGGCUAAAUUCAAUCGCAUUUCAAAAUGAAUUAAUAAUCAAUUUAAUCUUGAGAUUCUUAAUUUAGUAAAAUCAAACAAAAAUUUUUCAAGUAAAUUAUUUUUCAAUAAUAAAUUAUCUUGUGAUCAAGGUUUUACCAAUUUGAAUUCAUUUUUUAGAUAAUUUUUGAUUAAAUUCCAAUGUUUCAUAAAAUAAUUAUUUAAAUAACAAAAUUAAACGAUCUCACAUAUACAAAUAUGAAAAUAUAUAAUUUUUAAUUAAAAAAACAAAAUUACCUAGAUAGAUAUUUUGAAAAGUGUGUAUCGGAUAAAAUAAAUGUCACAAUCUUAUUGACAAUAAAAAAAAACUUAGAAUUAAACGUGGUCAUCGGGAAAAAAAAAGUGUCAGCUGAUGUUUUGAAAGGAAUACUUAAAAUAAGAGGUAAUGUACAAAGUUUAUAAUCACUCUUUAUGCCAUCACACCAUAGAGACUUAGGCAUGGUCAUUGAGAUUGUCGAGAAUACGUAUGAGGUGGAUGAGUCUAGUGUUCAAAAGUUGAAUAUUUGAUGAUUUCAACUAAAGUAUCUGAGGUGUACCAUGAAGAAUUUCUUAAAGUUCUUAAGAAGCAUAAAGCAUGUGUUUAUAUCUCCUAAUUAUAGCCUGAAAAGGGAUAUAAAAACAAGAAAGUGUAAUGACAAUUCAAGUUAUUUUAUGUAUUUUUGCUUAUUAACGUAGAUAGAGCUUCUCUAUAUCUAUCCCAAGUCAUUAGUGACUUGAGGGGACCGAUAGUUUGGUUACCUGGCGGUUCAUUUGGUUCGUCGAACCACUUUCUUAAUUAGAAGUCUUCGCUGGUCCUAAUUGACCACUACAAAAAACUUUAGUAAAAUAGUUUUGUAUGAAAAUUUUAACUUUUCCAACGCGUCCAAAAUGUCAAAAACUAUGGGGAUGCAUAUCUUAUUUGUUCAAAAAAGACCCCAGAUGCAUCUCAAGGCAUUAACCGAAGCUCAGAACCAAGUUUCAAGCUUCAGCCAUGCCUAGUGUUGACCAAGAUGCUAUGAUCCUAAUGGUCAAGGUGUGACUGUGGAUAGGCAGAGGGAGCGACUGUGCUACCCUACGCCUGAUCAAAGCCUAUUUAAGUGUUGUCUUUGAUGAGAUUUUGGUCUUUUAUGCCUCCUUCUUAAAUUUUAAACCCUAAUGGAGUGUAAAACCUUCUAAGUGACACCUGUGGGUUGAAUUAGAGCUUAAACAACUUAUGAAGUUGAAUCUUUCUACAAUCUAAGGUAAAAUAUCUCCUCGUUUAGUAUUGAUUUCAUGAUUUCUUGACUCAAAACUCCUAAAUCAUUGAGGCUCAAGUAUAGCCCCAAAUUUGAUGGAUUAACUCUAAUUACUUCAGACUUAUGACUCCCUAAAAGUAGUUGAAUAAUGGGUUUAUUUUGGAAACUCCUUUUCCAAAGGGGAAAACCACUUGGGGUUUUGGUGUUACAAUUGGACCCAUGGCUCAACGGUGCCAUAAUAAGUAUUAGUAAUCUUUUUGUAAUGUUUAGAUUGUAUUUUUGAUAGUUUUGCUCAUGGAGGAAAAAGCUUCAAUAAAAGGAAAGAAAAAGCUUAUUGGUUUGUGAGUUUCUUAGACUUAGGGUAGGUUAGGCUUACCUGUAUAUAGAGUGAGCUUGAUUAUAGUGUAAUUUUUGAUAUCUUAUGAGGUUGGACGGGGUUUAGAUAAUAAGUUAUUUAAUGGUGAUAAUUGGGAUUAGUUGGUUCUUAUAGUUUAUUGAAUUUAAAAGGUGAUAUGCUUGACCCUUAGCCUAGAACCUUAGAUAGUCUACUUGUAGUUUUAUAAAUAGUAUGAUAAUACUCUAGUUGCUCUAAUAGAUAAGAAUGGUGAUGCUUCCUAACCUUAGGAUUAUGUUGACCUUGCUAGUGCUUAGCUAGGAAAUGACUUUGGUGUUGAAUUGACUUAGGAGGAAUACUUGAAGAAAGUUUCCCUGAUAAGCUUAGCAAGGAUUGAUAAUCCCUUAUGAUUUGAUUUAGGUAACUUAGAAUAAUUCGGGUAGAUUUUAGCCUUGUGAUGGUAGACUUUGGCAUUCUUCGAAUAUAAGAGUGAGACUUGACCCACCUUAAGCUUGAACUAUGAAAUUCCUUAGAGACCUAGAUAGUAGGUAAGUGUCUAAAUUAUGUCAUGGAGAUUAUUGGUAGUUAAACCCCAAUUGUUGGAUUAUAUAUGUGUUCCAUGGUUGGUUAAUAUGGAUACUUAAUUGAUUAUAUUGUAUUCGUGAGAUGGAUAGCCUUGAGAAAGUAAUGGUUAUGUAUAAACCAUAUAAAUGCUCAUGCUCAUGCUAUGAGGUAAUGUUUAAUAGUAAGAUAGGGUGGUACACGCUCUCUUAUAUCCUUAUUAUUGUGGUCUUGUAUUUGCUUAUUAUUUUGGCUAUUUACGUGUAUGUAUAUUAUUGUCUUGAGAAAUAUGAAAUUUCAUUUGAUGCCAGGUGAAUCCGAAAGAUGUGUUAAUAUGAUGAUAAUACUCGGUGAAUCUAAAAGAGGUAAUGAUGUGUGAUAUUUCCUGAUGAAUUCGGAGGAUAUGUUGACGUAUGAUAUUGCUCGGUGAAUCCAGAGGAUAUGUUGAUGUUAUGAUGUAGGCCAGUGAAUUCGAAGGAUAUGUUGAUAUAAUAUUGAUACUCGAUAAAUUCGAAGGAGGUGAUGAUAUUAUAAUGAUUCCCUGUGAACCUAGAAGAUACGUUGAUGUUAUGUUGAUAAUCGGUG
rnacentral:lncRNA from 1 species